GACGAACGCUGGCGGCGUGCUUAACACAUGCAAGUCGAACGGAAAGGCCCUGCUUUUGUGGGGUGCCCGAGUGGCGAACGGGUGAGUAACACGUGAGUAACCUGCUCUUGACUUUGGGAUAACUUCAGGAAACUGGGGCUAAUACCGGAUAGGAGCUCCUGCUGCAUGGUGGGGGUUGGAAAGUUUCGGCUGUCGGGGAUGGACUCGCGGCUUAUCAGCUUGCUGGUGGGGUAGUGGCUUACCAAGGCUUUGGCGGGUAGCCGGCAGGGGAGGGUGACCGGCCACCAUGGGACUAAGAGACGGCCCAGUCUCCUACGUGGGGCAGCAGUGGCAAAUAUUGCACAGUGGGAGGAAGCCUGAUGCAGCAACCCCGCGUGCGGGAUGACGGCCUUCGGGUUGUGAACAGCUUUCGCCUGUGACGAAGCGUGAGUGACGGUACUGAGUAAAGAAGCACCGGCUAACUACGUG
rnacentral:rRNA from 1 species